ensembl:lncRNA
AUGCAAGGUGGACUCCUUCUGGAUGUUGUAGUCAGACAGUGUGCGACCAUCUUCCAGCUGUUUGCCAGCAAAGAUCAGCCUCUGCUGGUCAGGGGGAAUGCCUUCUUUGUCCUGGAUCUUUGCCUUGACGUUCUCAAUGGUGUCACUUGGCUCAACCUCAAGGGUGAUGGUCUUGCCUGUCAAGGUCUUGACGAAGAUCUGCAUGCCUCCCCUGAGACGCAGCACCAGAUGCAAGGUGGACUCCUUCUGGAUGUUGUAGUCAGACAGUGUGCGACCAUCUUCCAGCUGUUUGCCAGCAAAGAUCAGCCUCUGCUGGUCAGGGGGAAUGCCUUCUUUGUCCUGGAUUUUUGCCUUGACGUUCUCAAUGGUGUCACUUGGCUCAACCUCAAGGGUGAUGGUCUUGACGAAGAUCUGCAUGCCUCCCCUGAGACGCAGCACCAGAUGCAAGGUGGACUCCUUCUGGAUGUUGUAGUCAGACAGUGUGCGACCAUCUUCCAGCUGUUUGCCAGCAAAGAUCAGCCUCUGCUGGUCAGGGGGAAUGCCUUCUUUGUCCUGGAUUUUUGCCUUGACGUUCUCAAUGGUGUCACUUGGCUCAACCUCAAGGGUGAUGGUCUUGCCUGUCAAGGUCUUGACGAAGAUCUGCAUGCCUCCCCUGAGACGCAGCACCAGAUGCAAGGUGGACUCCUUCUGGAUGUUGUAGUCAGACAGUGUGCGACCAUCUUCCAGCUGUUUGCCAGCAAAGAUCAGCCUCUGCUGGUCAGGGGGAAUGCCUUCUUUGUCCUGGAUUUUUGCCUUGACGUUCUCAAUGGUGUCACUUGGCUCAACCUCAAGAGUGAUGGUCUUGCCAGUGAGGGUUUUGACAAAGAUCUGCAUCUAUUAACAAAACAAAACCAAAAAAUAAAAAAUAAAUAAAAUAAUCAUCAACCAUGCAUCAACUAAUUUAAAACUAUUGGUACACAUUCAUUAACAGCUAAAUGAAAGCAGAGAUCACAGAUGAAUGCUUUAAGCAUCUGAAAGAUUUUUUAAACACCAAACAAAACUCCAAAGAAAUCACACUUGUUUGUGAUAGCACUAUGCUCUAGCAAGUCAAGCAUUUAAUUGCACCUCACUUGUGUUAGGCAACCAGAAAAGCUUGAACGGAGCUCUGUCAACCACAUAUAAUGGCACGUAUUCAAGGCAGAACUAAGAUUUAUUAUGUUUCAUAAUUUACUACACUAUUAGCAUGACUUAAUUUAAUGGAUACAUUCGAUUUGUAUUUCCUCACUUUAAUAUAAAUGCAUUUGCUUAAAUAAGAGUAACUCUUUUUCUUAAUUUCUACUUUUUAACGAUUUUCAGCCAGAAAACCUUAAGGACCUGCUAAACUGUUGAAUUAUUAUAUCCUAACGUUACAUAAAGUAUAACAUCCUAAAAAAAAUCCGAAAUAAAUUUUCAAAAAGUAAAUAAACGACA